AUUGAACGUUCGGACCUUCGGCAGUAACAUCGUUUGAGAUGGAAGACACUGGACGGGAGUUUGACACGUAAUAAUAUUUUUGUUUAGCUUCGGAGUGGCGUAUUCGGUUCCUUCUUAAUGAUAGAGAAUUUUCUCUGUUUUGAAGUGUUUAAGGCCGUGUUCAUCACGUGACUAGAAUACAGCUGAGUACACAAGACCCGGAUGGCGCUUGGGAUCAUUUUCACUUCGUUGGCUGUUAUGAACACCGAACGUCUGCAAAGCAACACUUGAACUUCGUAUGGUGUUUGGAACGUGUUUGACUUGGACUUGCUAUUUUUGCAGUAAAUAUUCAGACAUGAUAAAGCUGCUCUCUUUACGAACAGAUCACGUCUUACUGGAGGGACCAGAAUUUAAGAAAUUGUGCGGACAUUGGGUGGAUUUGAGAACCUUUCACUGUUAGGCUGAUAUUUCUUGGGAUUCAAGAUCUUCACUUUUCCACAAAAUGCUGAUAGUUAUGCUAGUUUUGUUUCUCAAUUAAAAAUUCCUAAACCUACCGUUUACUUGUAUAUUAUGAUUGCUCUUUUAGAUUAGUAAAUAAUGGGCCAAGUU